GUCAGCCUUUUCUCUGACUCCCUCCAGCCCCCUCACCCCUCCCAGCUUCCAGCAGCCCAAUCACCAUCUAUAAAUCCUGUUGCUGGCAUCCGGGGUCUCUUAGGCAACAAUGUGUGGGCUCUUGAUUGGCCGCGAGAUCCAGGAAGGCUGGCUACAAAAUUGGGCACGGGGAUAAAAUUAACAAGCGUGGCGGCCAAGAGCGUGGGAGGGAUUGCAAUGUCUCGAUAUAAUCCCAGAAUGAAGAUACGUCGUGUCCUGAAACAAGCAGCGUUGAAAGCUUCAUUCAAGACGCAGUGUGUCCCAAAUCAGCCCCACCUACGGAGCAUCUCCAGUCACAUUGUCCCAGUCCCUCUGGAGCUGCAAAACGCAGGCUCCACUGUGCCAGGUUUUAAGAGUGGCCAACAGGUUCAUCCAGAAAGAGACCCGUUUUAACAGCAUCGGGAGUGCUGUGUGAAGUUCCCGCUCAUUAAAGACUUCGUAUUGGUGGUUACAACAUGGAAUGAAAGAGACAUGGGAUUAUAGAGAGCAUCUCCUUUAGCCCUGUUGGAUUUGAAUAUUUUCAUCCCUGAAAAGGCGGCCUCUUUCUUCCUGCCUCUCAACCAACGCCUUCUUGGCCUCCUCUUGUCCUGCACCUCAUCAUCUGACUACUGUCCUCCCAAAAGAACUUGAGCCACUCGGUCCACGCCGGCUAUGUUCACAGUGAGCUCAAUGUCUGUGACACUGUAACGUUACUUUCUUUAUUUUAAGAGACAGGAAUGGCUUUGUCGCGGAGGCCACAGUGUAGUGGCACAACAAUAGCUCACCACAGCUUUGAAAUUCUGGGCUCAAGCAAUCCUCCCAGGCUAUUUUUUUAAUUUUUAUUUUUGUAGAGACAAGAUCUUGCUAUGUUCCCGCAGGCUGGUCUCCAACUCCUGGCUCAAGAGAUCCUCUUUCCUCACCUUCCCAAAAUGCUGGGAUUACAGGCAUGCAUCACCUUGUUCAGUCCCAAACAUUAAUUACUUUUAAGGGGGAUAUUUCAAACAAAAGAAAGGUUUGAACACUUUCAUAAGAAACGCCCUUGAUUCUCCACAGAGAUUUUUAAACAAUGUUACAUUUGUGUGUAUUUCAUAGAUACAGUAGAACCGUCUUUUGUCUCAUUCCCCUCCCUGCCCUCCUAGAGGCAGUCAUUGUCACUGGUGUGCAGCCUUUGUCCUUUUUAAGCUUUUAUUGUAUGUAGAUUUGCCCUCAUAAACAUUAUAUAGUAUUGCUAGUUUUUUUUUUUUCUGAAGAGGCAUCAUCACUUACAUGUAUUGUGUUGUUUUUUUUUUUUCCACUCAAGGUUCCUUUGGUGAGAUUUAGUCACAACGAUACAGUAGUGAUCAUUUCUACAUCAUUCCCACGACGUUGAGCUAUGAUGUGUCCUAUGCCUCAGUGUUUACAAGAUGGUGCGUAAAUUGAAUAAAAAAGCACGUCACAGCGCA
rnacentral:lncRNA from 13 species